rnacentral:misc_RNA from 1 species
GAUGAAGAACGUAGCGAAAUGCGAUAAGUAAUGUGAAUUGCAGAAUUCAGUGAAUCAUCGAAUCUUUGAACGCACCUUGCGCUCCUUGGUAUUCCGAGGAGCAUGCCUGUUUGAGUGUCAUUAAUAUAUCAACCUCUUCAGCUUAUGCUUGUUGAGUGUUGGAUGGUGGGGGUUUGCUGGUGUCUUAUGAAGUCAGCUCCUCUGAAAUGCAUUAGCGGAACAAUUUGUUGACCGUUCAUUGGUGUGAUAAAAAUAUCUACGCUAUUGACGUCAGUCAGUUCAGCUUCUAACAGUCCAUUGACUUGGACAAAUUUUUCAUUAAUGUGACCUCAAAUCAGGUAGGACUGCCCGCUGAACUUAAGCAUAUCAAUAAGCGGAGGA